AAACAUCUCAAAAGGAUCUGAGGAAAUUAAGUAUGAACUUGUGUGCAGAAAGGAUUAAUUUAUAAAUAAUAACUAAUGGAUACAGUUAUCUUCUUUAUCUGUAUUUCUUUCAUACAAUGGUUCACGGCUUGAACUAGGAAGAGCUGCAAAGUCAUUGGACAAAGUCAGGUGAGCGCCGAUUUUCAAAUUCACUCUCAGCACUGUAAUUGGCUAAUAGCCUUGUCGCUGAGAAAUGGUGAGUUCUGAUUGGUUGAUUCGAUCAGAAGGCGGGUCAUCAACAGUUGCUCUGAUUCCGACCGACAGGCAGCAGCAGCUCAACAUACUCGUAAUGUUUGUGGAAAAUAGUAUCCGCAGCUAUAUCGAAGAUGAGGGAAUAAAGAGACCACAUGCAUCAUCUGUAUACACCCAGCACCCAGGAAUGUCUGAUUUCUCUGUUCUGCACCAGCCUUAUGCAUGCCCCUCUGAACUCAAAAAGAUCCUGGCUUCUGCAUCCAGCCCCAUUUGGUCCACAACUCUACCCCAGGCCUGCUCUCUCCCUCAGCCAAGUGGAGUCCCUACAAAACGUGGUGCACAACUGGAGACAGGACAAAGAUUUCACCUGAUACCACGUGACGACGAGCUCAAGCACACGCAUUUUUAAAAGUGAGUUUUU
rnacentral:lncRNA from 1 species